rnacentral:antisense_RNA from 1 species
AUCAAUGGUGGGGCGUAAUGGGCAACGUUUAAUCGUUGGCUGUUUUCCAGUAGAGGCAGUUUUCCACCCCGUUACGUCCUACCGCCAAG